rnacentral:rRNA from 1 species
CGUGGAGACAGGUGGUGCAUGGCUGUUGUCAGCUCGUGUCGUGAGAUGUUGGGUUAAGUCCCGCAACGAGCGCAACCCUCACCCCUAGUUGCCACCGGGUUAAGCCGAGCACUCGAGGGGAACUGCCAGCGUCAAGCUGGAGGAAGGCGGGGAUGACGUCAAGUCAUCAUGCCCCUUACGCCCUGGGCUACACACGUGCUACAAUGGCCAGUACAAAGGGACGCGAGACUGCGAAGUGGAGCUAAUCCCAAAAAGCUGGUCUAAGUUCAGAUUGCAGUCUGCAACUCGACUGCAUGAAGGAGGAAUCGCUAGUAAUCGCGUAUCAGCCCGGCGCGGUGAAUACGUUCCCGGGCCUUGUACACACCGCCCGUCACACCACGAAAGCUGUCUGUACUCGAAGUCGCUGAG